UACCAGCACCCCGAGUGGUCGGGACGAUUAUUGGGCCUAAAGCAUCCGUAGCCGGUCCUACAAGUCUUCCGUUAAAUCCACCUGCUUAACAGAUGGGCUGCGGAAGAUACUAUAGGGCUAGGAGGCGGGAGAGGCAAGCGGUACUCAGUGGGUAGGGGUAAAAUCCUUCGAUCCAUUGAAGACCACCAGUGGCGAAGGCGGCUUGCCAGAAUGCGCGACGGUGAGGGAUGAAAGCUGGGGGGAGCAAACCGG
rnacentral:rRNA from 1 species